rnacentral:rRNA from 1 species
GAUGAACGCUGACAGAAUGCUUAACACAUGCAAGUCAACCUGUUGCGGACGGGUGUGUAACGCGUAAAGAACUUGCCUCACCGAUAUGGACCACCUUUUGAAACGAAUGCUAAUACCUGAUACUGUGAGAGAGGUUUGCGUACCAUUAGCUAGUGGGUGAGGUAACGGCUCACCAAGGCGAUGAUGGGUAGCCGGCCUGCGAGGGUGAUCGGCCACAAGGGGACUGAGACACGGCCCUGGCGCCUACGGGGGGAAGCAGUGAGGAAUGAUGGACAAUGGACCAAAGUCUGAUCCAGCAAUUCGGGGUGCACGAUGAAGUUUUCGGAAGGUAGAGUGCUUUCAGUUGAGAAGCGGUACCAACAGAAGAAGUGACGGCUAAAUACGUGCCAGCAGCCGCGGUAAUUC